UAUGACUGUCGGAGUUAACUUUAUUUGACUUUAGUCCCAAUUGUUUUACACAAAGGUGUGAAACCUGUGGCCGCACUGACAGGAAAUCACUCUACGCUUGAACGCACAGAAUACACAGGAAUGAGGCAGGUAGAUAAUCUGUGUAACGAUUGACCAAGAAGAAUUCUACAUGCAUAUCAAACAAUUUUACUAAUAGUUACAUCAAAUAAUUAAUUCAUUUUACUGCGUUCUUUAACCGCUAAACGUGUUGAAGAUGUUCCUUCCCGCAAAAAACCUCCAUAAUAAACUAAACGGGAGAUAGGGAAAAACAACAACGAAUUAAACUUUCCAAACACAGUAUAUCAUGCAUCACGAACAUUGUAAAAAAACUAAACUGUUAAACAUACCUCUUAUUUUCUUUAUUGAAAAUAAAACUAAUAGAACGAAACUUUAUCAUGGAGGAAACAUGUGGUAGAGCUAGCGGGCUAAUUUGAUUGACAGAUGCAGCACGUGGACUCAAAUUUGAAAUUGCAUGAUGGAUUCAAUCACAGUGUACCAUAAUCUUUUAUGAAUACUAAUUUUAUGAAUAUUUAGUAUUGGAUAUUAGUAUAUUUCACAUAAGUGUCUGAACAAUGAGUUGGGCGUUUAUUCUCAUCGCCGUCGUCGUUUUCACAACAUGCCAAUCAGAGGCUGAGGGACAGUCAUGCCAACGCCAUAAGAACAUUAAUGGCUGCAGCAUUCCUUUGGGAAUGACCUUCUUUUACAAACGAAAGUUUAAAUCUGCCUGCAAUUUGCACGACCAUUGUUACAACUGUGCCUUGUAUUUCAACCUUGAUCGGAGAUACUGCGAUCGGAAAUUCCGGAGGGACAUGCAGAGAAUCUGUGUUAAAACAAACAAGACUUUUGUUGGGAGGAUUGCAUGUUUGACUGUGAGAGAGACCUACUUUACUGCGGUACAAACUGCCGGAAGUUUGUAUUUCGCGAGACCUUCAAAGAAUUACUGCAAGCAGUCAUGGGUCAGAGACUGUGUUUUCUAAAAUUUUAAAUUCUAAAAUUUAUUUAAAUUUUUUUUUGAAAAAUGCACUUUUAUGCUGACACAGGGAUGUACCUUUUAGUCUCUUUAAUUAUCUAGUGCAUUGUUUACCAAUAAAAUUUUCCUUGAA